rnacentral:rRNA from 1 species
AGUGAACGCUGGCGGUAGGCCUAACACAUGCAAGUCGAACGGCAGCACAGUAAGAGCUUGCUCUUACGGGUGGCGAGUGGCGGACGGGUGAGGAAUACAUCGGAAUCUACUUUUUCGUGGGGGAUAACGUAGGGAAACUUACGCUAAUACCGCAUACGACCUACGGGUGAAAGCAGGGGAUCUUCGGACCUUGCGCGAUUGAAUGAGCCGAUGUCGGAUUAGCUAGUUGGCGGGGUAAAGGCCCACCAAGGCGACGAUCCUUAGCUGGUCUGAGAGGAUGACCGGCCACACUGGAACUGAGACACGUUCCAAACUCCUACGGGAGGCAGCAGUGGGGAAUAUUGAACAUUGGGCGCAACCCUGACCCAGCCAUACCGCUUGGGUGAAGAAGGCCUUCGGUUUUUAAAGCCCUUUUGUGGGAAAAGAAAAGCACCAGGUAAUACCCCGCUGUUCUGACGGUACCCAAAGAAUAAGCACCGGCUAACUUCGUG